rnacentral:rRNA from 1 species
GAUGAACGCUGGCGGCGUGCCUAAUACAUGCAAGUCGAGCGAAGCGGGGACGGGUGAGUACCACGUGGAUACCCUCUUAUACGACUGGGAUAACUUCGGGAAACCGGAGCUCACCCUGAUAAUCAUAUAUGUAUACUCUCUGCAUUAGCUAGUUGGUAAUGUAACGGCUUACAAGGGCCACGAUGCAUAGCCGACCUGAGAGGGUGAUCGGCCACAAUGGAACUGAGACACGGUCCAGAAUCCUACGGGAGGCAGCAGUAGGGAAUCUGCCGCAAUGGGCGAAAGCCUGACGGAGCAACGCCGCGUGAGUGAUGAAGGUCUUCGGAUCGUAAAACUCUGUUAUUAGGGAAGCGGUACCUAAUCAGAAAGCCACGGCUAACUACGUGCCAGCAGCCGCGGUAAUAC